rnacentral:rRNA from 1 species
GAUGAACGCUGGCGGCGUGCCUAAUACAUGCAAGUCGAGCGAACAGACGAGGAGCUUGCUCCUCUGACGUUAGCGGCGGACGGGUGAGUAACACGUGGAUAACCUACCUAUAAGACUGGGAUAACUUCGGGAAACCGGAGCUAAUACCGGAUAAUAUAUUGAACCGCAUGGUUCAAUAGUGAAAGACGGUUUUGCUGUCACUUAUAGAUGGAUCCGCGCCGCAUUAGCUAGUUGGUAAGGUAACGGCUUACCAAGGCGACGAUGCGUAGCCGACCUGAGAGGGUGAUCGGCCACACGGGAACUGAGACACGGUCCAGACUCCUACGGGGGGCAGCAGUAGGGAAUCUUCCGCAAUGGGCGAAAGCUUGACGGAGCAACGCCGCGUGAGUGAUGAAGGUCUUCGGAUCGUAAAACUCUGUUAUUAGGGAAGAACAAAUGUGUAAGUAACUAUGCACGUCUUGACGGUACCUAAUCAGAAAGCCACGGCUAACUACGUG